UUACUUAAAAGAAUAUGAUUUUCUGAAAUACUAACUAUCACAUUAGUAAUCAAUUUAUAAUCUUUUCAAUCAAAGGGAGCUAGAAAUUUGAAUAUGAGUUCGGCAAAUUCACUAGCUCAAUAAUGUUUGCUUGUUCAAAAUUCUAUUAUUAACCCUUGAAAUCGUUCACAUUAAAUUCAGAACUCAUAAAAUUAAAAUUCUAAUUUUUUUUUCGUCAAUUGACAAUACACUUAGAGUGGAAUUUCCAUGAAAGUGAGAGAUGAGUAUGAAGAGGAAAUCACGUGGGUAAAGCUUUCGACAAUGGCGAAGAAUGGGCAUUUUUUUUUCCUUAUAAGUUGAACUUUUGCAGAAGAAAAAAAGAAUCAGUUGAUUCUGAUAUGAUAGAAUAUUUUAUGGAGUUUGGAGGAAUGCAUUUUGUGAGCAGUUUAAAAGGAAUCUAUCACAACCUUCACUUAAAGUGGCGAAAAGAAUCACAACUGUUUUGCUGGCAUGGUGGCUACUGGCUAUGAUGAUAAGUAACUUUUGUGAUCUCAUGGUUUGCUUCUUAUCAUUAAUCAAUGUUUAAGAGUUUUUAAGUUCUUGAUGUUCAGCAGACGUUUUUGCACCGUGAAAAUGGUUGGUUAAUAACGUAGUUUUAUUAGAACUUGUACCUGCUACCUCUCAUCAACACAUGUACCAAGUGACUGUCUAUAAGGGCUUAAACAUAUUGAACUAGAAAGACUUAAAAUAUCGAAAUAAGUUAUCUAGAAUUCCUUCUUCUUUAAUGUGUUUCUAUACAUAUAUAUGUUGGAAAUUAUGUAAAAAAAUUCUUUCUUUAAGUACUCUUUUCUUAAUUUUUCGAGGGACCACCUCAGCUUCUCCAAGGGAAAGGAUGAACAGAGAGGACUGCGCAUUGGGGAGCUUUUCUCCUCGCAAGGGGCGGAGGCUGGAUUCCAAAAAUGCUAAAAUGUCACAUCUGAACCAGCUUUAAAGAACAUAAGGAAGAAUCAAGGUCUGCUGGUCAUAGGUAUUAUGGUGUUGCUUUGAGAAGGAAACUGUGACAGAAAACUGUUUGUGUAUAAUUUUAAUUUUUUUAAUGAUUAUUUUCAAUAUACUUCAUUAUGAAUAUACCUCAUAGAGAUUUGUUAGUGUAAGACUUCAAUCCUAUAAAAAAAAAAAAUUGGAGUCUUGACCUGACUCUACUGUACAGGAAAUCCAUCUAUCUUAUAUUUGUAUGGUUUAGCUUUAGUUGUUUUCACUAAAUAGAUUCUUUGAGACCAUAUAUUCUAAUAGAGCUAGAAGCACUUCAUUAUAAUGUUUGUUUCUACAAAAGCACCACUUGUCUUUGGUUUUUAUUCGGUAUUCAGUACUCGCUUUGAAUCCCCGAAUUAGGAAAAUUUAUUUAUCUAAAGGUUGAAGAACUCUAUCCAUCUCACCACAGCCCAAAUGGUUGGACUCACCACUUUAGAGCCACUUCAAUUCAAGCCAAAGACCUACCUUAUCUUUGUGAGAUUUGAAUUAUAUGUGCCUAAGUUAGUGGAAAAUGCACCAUUAGGGCUUAGGCAGUGGAAAUUUCGGUAACAUGGUCUAGUGGUCAAUGAAGUGGAUUGAAAAUCAUAGGUUCUCAGGUUUAAAUCUCAGCAAAAGCGCAAAUUACUCAAUCCUGACACAGAGAGGUAACGGCAAUAACAAACUCUUAUGAGUCUGGCAAUAACAAUGAGUAUAAUAUGAAUUCCUUAAUGAGGAUUCUUGAGGAGUGU